rnacentral:rRNA from 1 species
ACUACAACGGGUGGAGCCUGCGGUUUAAUUGGAUUCAACGCCGGAAAUCUCACCGGGGGCGACAGCAAUAUGAAGGUCAGGCUGAAGACUUACCCGAUUAGCUGAGAGGUGGUGCAUGGCCGUCGUCAGUUCGUACUGUGAAGCAUCCUGUUAAGUCAGGCAACGAGCGAGACCCACGUCCACAGUUGCCAGCAUACCCUCCGGGGUGAUGGGUACACUGUGGAGACCGCCGCUGCUAAAGCGGAGGAAGGAGUGGGCAACGGUAGGUCAGUAUGCCCCGAAUCUCCCGGGCUACACGCGGGCUACAAUGGUUGGUACAAUGGGCAUCUACCCCGAAAGGGGAAGGAAAUCUCUUAAAGCCAAUCGUAGUUCGGAUUGAGGGCUGCAACUCGCCCUCAUGAAGCUGGAAUCCGUAGUAAUCGCGUUUCAAACAGAACGCGGUGAAUACGUCCCUGGCUCCUU